AUCUAUGGUUAAGCUGAUAAUGACAGCUAAGCCAACCGGUUGCAUCAGUUUCUCUCUCUAGUGUCCAGGUGGUUUCAGAUCUAUGGUUAAGCUGAUAAUGACAGCUAAGCCAACCGGUUGCAUCAGUUUCUCUCUCUAGUGUCCAGGUGGUUUCAGAUCUAUGGUUAAGCUGAUAAUGACAGCUAAGCCAACCGGUUGCAUCAGUUUCUCUCUCUAGUGUCCAUGUGGUUUCAGAUCUAUGGUUAAGCUGAUAAUGACAGCUAAGCCAACCGGUUGCAUCAGUUUCUCUCUCUAGUGUCCAGGUGGUUUCAGAUCUAUGGUUAAGCUGAUAAUGACAGCUAAGCCAACCGGUUGCAUCAGUUUCUCUCUCUAGUGUCCAGGUGGUUUCAGAUCUAUGGUUAAGCUGAUAAUGACAGCUAAGCCAACCGGUUGCAUCAGUUUCUCUCUCUAGUGUCCAGGUGGUUUCAGAUCUAUGGUUAAGCUGAUAAUGACAGCUAAGCCAACCGGUUGCAUCAGUUUCUCUCUCUAGUGUCCAUGUGGUUUCAGAUCUAUGGUUAAGCUGAUAAUGACAGCUAAGCCAACCGGUUGCAUCAGUUUCUCUCUCUAGUGUCCAGGUGGUUUCAGAUCUAUGGUUAAGCUGAUAAUGACAGCUAAGCCAACCGGUUGCAUCAGUUUCUCUCUCUAGUGUCCAGGUGGUUUCAGAUCUAUGGUUAAGCUGAUAAUGACAGCUAAGCCAACCGGUUGCAUCAGUUUCUCUCUCUAGUGUCCAGGUGGUUUCAGAUCUAUGGUUAAGCUGAUAAUGACAGCUAAGCCAACCGGUUGCAUCAGUUUCUCUCUCUAGUGUCCAGGUGGUUUCAGAUCUAUGGUUAAGC